rnacentral:rRNA from 1 species
UACGGAGGGUGCGAGCGUUGUUCGGAAUUACUGGGCGUAAAGCGCGUGUAGGCGGCAAGUUAAGUUCGGUGUGAAAGCCCGAGGCUCACCCUCGGAAGUGCGCUGAAAACUAGCUCGCUAGAGUAUGGGAGAGGGAAGCGGAAUUCCUGGUGUAGCGGUGAAAUGCGUAGAUAUCAGGAGGAACACCGGCGGCGAAGGCGGCUUCCUGGACCAAUACUGACGCUGAGACGCGAAAGCGUGGGGAGCAAACAGG